GAUUGAUAUCUGAAGUGUGAUUCGGCUACAGGUGUACUACUCUUAGGGAUUUUACUACACAGUCGGUCCAGGGGUUCUAUUUUUAUUUUUAUUUUAUUUUUUGGGGGGGGGGGGCGUUUUGAGUUGUAAUAACUGCAGGUAAUAACUGAUCACUCAUAAUGACUCCAACUGUUGCAGUCCUCCCACACCGUUCAACAGGACUAUUAACUCUUAAAUGGACGUCAGCCGUACUUCCUUCUGCACCGAGCUCCUGGAAGAGAGGCCUUUUUCACGUGAACGGCAUCUCAUCCAGGCUACAAUGCUCGUGAAAUCAACCGUAACCAUGAAGACCAAAUGACCGCUUCAGCCGUGAGGUGGUGGAUUCCAUAACAGAGGCGAUUCCAUAACUACACCACAAGAUUUCUGGCAUGAAUUCAAGACAGGACAGCUGCUGGCAAGUUAAAGAAUGAAGUUUGAUGCUGAACUUGCAGCGUUUCUUCUAGACUGGGUAAGUAAA